GACGAACGCUGGCGGCGUGCUUAACACAUGCAAGUCGAACGGAAAGGCCCUGCUUUUGUGGGGUGCUCGAGUGGCGAACGGGUGAGUAACACGUGAGUAACCUGCCCUUGACUUUGGGAUAACUUCAGGAAACUGGGGCUAAUACCGGAUAGGAGCUCCUGCUGCAUGGUGGGGGUUGGAAAGUUUCGGCGGUUGGGGAUGGACUCGCGGUUUAUCAGCUUGUUGGUGGGGUAGUGGCUUACCAAGGCUUUAACGGGUAGCCGGCCUGAGAGGGUGACCGGCCACAUUGGGACUGAGAUACGGCCCAGACUCCUACGGGAGGCAGCAGUGGGGAAUAUUGCACAAUGGGCGGAAGCCUGAUGCAGCAACGCCGCGUGCGGGAUGACGGCCUUCGGGUUGUAAACCGCUUUCGCCUGUGACGAAGCGUGAGUGACGGCAAUGGGUAAAGAAGCACCGGCUAACUACGUG
rnacentral:rRNA from 1 species